rnacentral:rRNA from 1 species
UCUUAACAAAKACUAAKCCAKGUCKACCGCACCUAAAACACCUGUACGGGGAAAGAGUUCCCYAAUUASUUUUAGCCAACUUCCACUCCCGCGGUGGGGGAGGYCGUCCCCCCAAAAUUSYSCGCCGCCCCACACAUAUUUCUCUMAAAACUSCUCCCCCCSACAAWCWGGGCAGCCCCCCKAACUUUUSUGGGGGAAASUACCCUCCCAACAGAUUGUAGGGUCCCCCCCAUUUUUUYCCCYGAAAAUGACUCCCCUAGCAGCUUGUGAGAUGGCCCAGAUCGUUUACCGUGAAAAAAUUAGAGUGUUCAAAGCAGGCAGAUCCAAUUUUCUGCCACCGAAUACAUUAGCAUGGGAUAAUGGAAUAGGACCCUGUCCUCCUAUUUUCAGUUGGUUUUGGCAGCGCGAGGACUAGGGUAAUGAUUAAUAGGGAUAGUUGGGGGCAUUAAUAUUUAAUUGUCAGAGGUGAAAUUCUUGGAUUUAUGAAAGAUUAACUUCUGCGAAAGCAUCUGCCAAGGAUGUUUUCAUUAAUCAAGAACGAAAGUUAGGGGAUCGAAGACGAUCAGAUACCGUCGUAGUCUUAACCAUAAACGAUGCCGACCAGCGAUUAGGAGACGUUGAAUCCAAAGCYCCACCAUCCCCCCGGUCGUCCUGGCGUMUYGGUUCCCCCGGGSGCGGWAUACACAGAUCGUCCGGCGAUC